rnacentral:rRNA from 1 species
UUAAGUUAUUAAGGGCGCACGGUGGAUGCCUUGGCACUAGAAGCCGAUGAAGGACGUUACUAACGACGAUAUGCUUUGGGGAGCUGUAAGUAAGCUUUGAUCCAGAGAUUUCCGAAUGGGGAAACCCAGUAUGAGUUAUGUCAUGUUAUCGAUAUGUGAAUACAUAGCAUAUCAGAAGGCACACCCGGAGAACUGAAACAUCUUAGUACCCGGAGGAAGAGAAAGAAAAUUCGAUUCCCUUAGUAGCGGCGAGCGAAACGGGAAGAGCCCAAACCAACAAGCUUGCUUGUUGGGGUUGUAGGACACUCUAUACGGAGUUACAAAGGACGACAUUAGACGAAUCAUCUGGAAAGAUGAAUCAAAGAAGGUAAUAAUCCUGUAGUCGAAAAUGUUGUCUCUCUUGAGUGGAUCCUGAGUACGACGGAGCACGUGAAAUUCCGUCGGAAUCUGGGAGGACCAUCUCCUAAGGCUAAAUACUCUCUAGUGACCGAUAGUGAACCAGUACCGUGAGGGAAAGGUGAAAAGCACCCCGGAAGGGGAGUGAAAUAGAACCUGAAACCGUGUGCUUACAAGUAGUCAGAGCCCGUUAAUGGGUGAUGGCGUGCCUUUUGUAGAAUGAACCGGCGAGUUACGAUUUGAUGCAAGGUUAAGCAGUAAAUGUGGAGCCGUAGCGAAAGCGAGUCUGAAUAGGGCGUUUAGUAUUUGGUCGUAGACCCGAAACCAGGUGAUCUACCCUUGGUCAGGUUGAAGUUCAGGUAACACUGAAUGGAGGACCGAACCGACUUACGUUGAAAAGUGAGCGGAUGAACUGAGGGUAGCGGAGAAAUUCCAAUCGAACCUGGAGAUAGCUGGUUCUCUCCGAAAUAGCUUUAGGGCUAGCCUCAAGUGAUGAUUAUUGGAGGUAGAGCACUGUUUGGACGAGGGGCCCCUCUCGGGUUACCGAAUUCAGACAAACUCCGAAUGCCAAUUAAUUUAACUUGGGAGUCAGAACAUGGGUGAUAAGGUCCGUGUUCGAAAGGGAAACAGCCCAGACCACCAGCUAAGGUCCCAAAAUAUAUGUUAAGUGGAAAAGGAUGUGGCGUUGCCCAGACAACUAGGAUGUUGGCUUAGAAGCAGCCAUCAUUUAAAGAGUGCGUAAUAGCUCACUAGUCGAGUGACACUGCGCCGAAAAUGUACCGGGGCUAAACAUAUUACCGAAGCUGUGGAUUGUCCUUUGGACAAUGGUAGGAGAGCGUUCUAAGGGCGUUGAAGCAUGAUCGUAAGGACAUGUGGAGCGCUUAGAAGUGAGAAUGCCGGUGUGAGUAGCGAAAGACGGGUGAGAAUCCCGUCCACCGAUUGACUAAGGUUUCCAGAGGAAGGCUCGUCCGCUCUGGGUUAGUCGGGUCCUAAGCUGAGGCCGACAGGCGUAGGCGAUGGAUAACAGGUUGAUAUUCCUGUACCACCUAUAAUCGUUUUAAUCGAUGGGGGGACGCAGUAGGAUAGGCGAAGCGUGCGAUUGGAUUGCACGUCUAAGCAGUAAGGCUGAGUAUUAGGCAAAUCCGGUACUCGUUAAGGCUGAGCUGUGAUGGGGAGAAGACAUUGAGUCUUCGAGUCGUUGAUUUCACACUGCCGAGAAAAGCCUCUAGAUAGAAAAUAGGUGCCCGUACCGCAAACCGACACAGGUAGUCAAGAUGAGAAUUCUAAGGUGAGCGAGCGAACUCUCGUUAAGGAACUCGGCAAAAUGACCCCGUAACUUCGGGAGAAGGGGUGCUCUUUAGGGUUAACGCCCAGAAGAGCCGCAGUGAAUAGGCCCAAGCGACUGUUUAUCAAAAACACAGGUCUCUGCUAAACCGUAAGGUGAUGUAUAGGGGCUGACGCCUGCCCGGUGCUGGAAGGUUAAGAGGAGUGGUUAGCUUCUGCGAAGCUACGAAUCGAAGCCCCAGUAAACGGCGGCCGUAACUAUAACGGUCCUAAGGUAGCGAAAUUCCUUGUCGGGUAAGUUCCGACCCGCACGAAAGGCGUAACGAUUUGGGCACUGUCUCAACGAGAGACUCGGUGAAAUCAUAGUACCUGUGAAGAUGCAGGUUACCCGCGACAGGACGGAAAGACCCCGUGGAGCUUUACUGUAGCCUGAUAUUGAAAUUCGGCACAGCUUGUACAGGAUAGGUAGGAGCCUUUGAAACGUGAGCGCUAGCUUACGUGGAGGCGCUGGUGGGAUACUACCCUAGCUGUGUUGGCUUUCUAACCCGCACCACUUAUCGUGGUGGGAGACAGUGUCAGGCGGGCAGUUUGACUGGGGCGGUCGCCUCCUAAAAGGUAACGGAGGCGCUCAAAGGUUCCCUCAGAAUGGUUGGAAAUCAUUCAUAGAGUGUAAAGGCAUAAGGGAGCUUGACUGCGAGACCUACAAGUCGAGCAGGGUCGAAAGACGGACUUAGUGAUCCGGUGGUUCCGCAUGGAAGGGCCAUCGCUCAACGGAUAAAAGCUACCCCGGGGAUAACAGGCUUAUCUCCCCCAAGAGUUCACAUCGACGGGGAGGUUUGGCACCUCGAUGUCGGCUCAUCGCAUCCUGGGGCUGUAGUCGGUCCCAAGGGUUGGGCUGUUCGCCCAUUAAAGCGGUACGCGAGCUGGGUUCAGAACGUCGUGAGACAGUUCGGUCCCUAUCCGUCGUGGGCGUAGGAAAUUUGAGAGGAGCUGUCCUUAGUACGAGAGGACCGGGAUGGACAUACCUCUGGUGUACCAGUUGUCGUGCCAACGGCAUAGCUGGGUAGCUAUGUGUGGACGGGAUAAGUGCUGAAAGCAUCUAAGCAUGAAGCCCCCCUCAAGAUGAGAUUUCCCAACUUCGGUUAUAAGAUCCCUCAAAGAUGAUGAGGUUAAUAGGUUCGAGGUGGAAGCAUGGUGACAUGUGGAGCUGACGAAUACUAAUCGAUCGAAGACUUAAUCAA